GAUGAACGCUGGCGGCGUGCCUAAUACAUGCAAGUAGAACGCUGAAGCUUGGUGCUUGCACCGAGCGGAUGAGUUGCGAACGGGUGAGUAACGCGUAGGUAACCUACCUCUUAGCGGGGGAUAACUAUUGGAAACGAUAGCUAAUACCGCAUAAAAGUCGACAUUGCAUGAUGUUGACUUGAAAGGUGCAACUGCAUCACUAAGAGAUGGACCUGCGUUGUAUUAGCUAGUUGGUGAGGUAACGGCUCACCAAGGCGACGAUACAUAGCCGACCUGAGAGGGUGAUCGGCCACACUGGGACUGAGACACGGCCCAGACUCCUACGGGAGGCAGCAGUAGGGAAUCUUCGGCAAUGGACGGAAGUCUGACCGAGCAACGCCGCGUGAGUGAAGAAGGUUUUCGGAUCGUAAAGCUCUGUUGUAAGAGAAGAACGAGUGUGAGAGUGGAAAGUUCACACUGUGACGGUAACUUACCAGAAAGGGACGGCUAACUACGUGCCAGCAGCCGCGGUAAUACGUAGGUCCCGAGCGUUAUCCGGAUUUAUUGGGCGUAAAGCGAGCGCAGGCGGUUAGAUAAGUCUGAAGUUAAAGGCUGUGGCUUAACCAUAGUACGCUUUGGAAACUGUUUAACUUGAGUGCAGAAGGGGAGAGUGGAAUUCCAUGUGUAGCGGUGAAAUGCGUAGAUAUAUGGAGGAACACCGGUGGCGAAAGCGGCUCUCUGGUUUGUAACUGACGCUGAGGCUCGAAAGCGUGGGGAGCAAACAGG
rnacentral:rRNA from 1 species